rnacentral:rRNA from 1 species
AAUGAACGCUGGCGGCGCGCCUAAUACAUGCAAGUCGAGCGAGAAGACGUAGCAAUACGUUUGUAAAGCGGCGAACGGGUGAGGAAUACAUGGGUAACCUACCCUCGAGUGGGGAAUAACUAGCCGAAAGGUUAGCUAAUACCGCGUACGCUUCUUGGACUUCGGUUCAGGGAGGAAAGCGAUGCCGAGGGUAUCGCGCUCUUGGAUGGGCUCAUGUCCUAUCAGCUUGUUGGNGAGGUAACGGCUCACCAAGGCUUCGACGGGUAGCUGGUCUGAGAGGACGAUCAGCCACACUGGCACUGCGACACGGGCCAGACUCCUACGGGAGCAGCAGUAAGGAAUAUUGCGCAAUGGGCGAAAGCCUGACGCAGCGACGCCGC